AGGUAUAGUGCAAACUAAUUCUCGUUCUUUCCCGUCAUUGUGUAUAAACUCUACAGGUAUGAAUGUAAAUGUAUGAUUGAUUGUGUUUACAGUGUGCAGUCCUUACAGGUAUGGUCCUAACUGUGCCUUUGAUUGCGGACAUUGUAAAGAUGGAAGCCCUUGUUCAACAGGGAAUGGAAGCUGUCUAAGUGGUUGUGAAGAGGGAUGGGGAGAUAUAUCUUGCUUGAAAGCAUCACCCAGAUCGGAUAGACAGAGGUUAAUCAGCACCGACAAAAGUCCCACCACAGGACUGUACGUAACUAUUGGAGUUUUAUCAACACUUCUCACUAUAACCGUGGUCGUGGUCAUAGUUCUGAUACAUAUAGUCCGCAAACAGAACCGGCAACCCCCCCCCCCCCCACCAGCAUGAUAACAAUCCACCACAAAGCUUUGUUAAUCAUAUAGAAAUGGAGGAAACACAUGAUUACGAUAAACUAGGAGUCAGAGAUACGGAUAAUUAUCAGGAACUACCAACCGUUGUUGCUGACCAACUUCCACAGGAGAGACAUGCGUCAGACUCAAACUACAUUAACUCAACGUUGCGAUAACAAGAAUAUUGCAGAGUUACCAAAUAUGGAGUCUGAAACUUGCUAUUGAAUUUUGAACUAUACAUGCAAUAUUUCUGUCAAAUGAUCAAAAUAGAGCUUUAACUUAAAUCACUUUAAUAUAUGACAACUUACCAUUGUUUGGGGGCGACUGCUCUCUAAUGUGUGAUGUUUGAAGGGAUCGUUGCUUGUUCUACAAUUAAUUUCGAGAUUCGUAUUCAUUUUUUAUCUCUUUUGUAACAAAAAUAAAAUUGCAUAUCCAUGAA